rnacentral:rRNA from 1 species
UCUCAAAGAUUAAGCCAUGCAUGUCUAAGUUCAUGCCUUUAUACGGUGAAACCGCGAAUGGCUCAUUAAAUCAGCUAUGGUUUAUUGGAUCGUACUCGUUAAAUGGAUAACUGUAAUAACUCUAGAGCUAAUACAUGCCACGAAGCCCUGACCCCGCUCUUUGGGUGGGGAAUGGGUGCACUUAUUAGAUCAGAAGCCAACCAGUUCAUGCGCCCGCUUCACGGUGGGUGUGUGGAUUGUAGCACUUCUGGUGACUCUGGAUAAUUGUUACAGAUCGCAGUCGGCUUUUAUGUCGGCGACGGGUCCUUCAAAUGUCUGCCCUAUCAACUAUCGAUGGUAGGUGACCUGCCUACCAUGGUGAUAACGGGUAACGGGGAAUCAGGGUUCGAUUCCGGAGAGGGAGCCUGAGAAACGGCUACCACUUCCAAGGGAGGCAGCAGGCGCGCAAAUUACCCACUCCCAGUACGGGGAGGUGGUGACGAAAAAUACCGAUGCGGGACUCAUUAACGAGGCUCCGUAAUCGGAAUGAGUGGACUCUAAAUCCUUUCACGAGGAUCAAUUGGAGGGCAAGUCUGGUGCCAGCAGCCG